GUGAUGUGUUUAAGCAUGUUUUUAAUAUGUGGGUUAGUCACUUAAAAAAUAGACCACUCGUUAAAAACUGGUUUCGUGGGGAUAAAUUCAAUCUGAUGAAUGUUGUCUAUGCACUUUUGCAAUGGAGUCUCGAAAUCAUCUCAUGUUCCUCUGUGAGCGCUUCCGAGGUGUGAAAUUUGUUUUUUUCUAGGCUUUAUUCUCGACAAAAGUUGUUUUGCUCUUGGGCUAAGCUACUUUCUUGGACCUGACGCUCUUCCUCUCUUGAGACACUUAAAUAAUUGUCCAUUCAUCAAAGACAGGCUUCUUGGGAAUAAAUUCAAUCUGAUGAGUGUUUUCUUUGCAUUUUUGCAACGGAGUCUCGGGAUCACCUCCUGCUCCUCUGAAGCAGGAUAAUAAACCAGACGUGUUCUUUUGUUUCGAGGUAGUUUUGUCAUUAAUCAUUAAAAAUUAAUUCGUCUUCUAUAAAUUUUGGCUUAUCGUUAGAAAAAUGUAGUGGUCAUAUCAUCGUCUGUGUGAUUUGAUUCGCAAAAUUAGAGUAUUCUCAAGGUGUUGACCUACAUAUAUUAAUAUGUAAUUGUGUAUAUGUUGUGUAAUUUUCAAAUGUUUGUUUUAAA